rnacentral:lncRNA from 1 species
AUCAUUUUUCACAUAAUAUAUGAAAGCAUUUGUUACACACCACGAGAAUUAGGUAUUUAUAGAGACUCGUUUUUUAGUUGUAAACCUCCUAAUAAAGGCAAUGUGUUAGAAAAAUGAUCUAGGAAAAGUUGUACUUCAUUUAUGCUAUGAGAUGCUAGUGCAUAUAGUAAGAAUGAAAUUCUAGAGUAUUUUUUUUUCUCCUACUAUUAGCCAUCAUUUUUCACAUAAUAUAUGAAAGCAUUUGUUGCACGCCGUGAGAAUUAGGUAUUUAAUGAGAGUCAUCUUUUAAUUGUAAACCUUCUAAUACAAGUAAUAUGUUAGAAAAAUGAUUAAGCAAAAGGUUGGAACUUUAUUUGUGCUAUUAUAUUCUUGUACAUCUAGCCAGAAUGAAACUUUAGAAUUUUCUUUCUACUUAUAAUUUGCUAGCUGGCUGUUUUAAUAAAAUAUAUGGAAGCACUUAUUACACGCCAUG